CACACAUGUAACACACCAAUACCUACAAAAAAGUCUCUUGGAACGAAAUUCGAAUCCCAACAGGAAGUCAGUUAUUUUGAAUUUUCUCUGCAAAAUUUGUGUCGUUUUUGCCAUUUUCAGGGGUUGUACUUUAACGAACUCCUCCUAGAGAUUUAUUCAGAUCAACACCAAACUUUGUCAGUGUAAUCUAAAGGCCUUUGCGAUGUUAAAUUGCGAAGAUCUUGAGGUUUCGUUUAAGGGCGUGUCUGUGGCGGCCUUACACAUUUCGAUGUUUCGCCAUGAGAAAGGAAGUUGCUAUAACUCAGACAUACAAUGUCCAAUCUGCCC
ensembl:lncRNA